AAUAAUGAACAGUUUUUACCCCUCAUCUUCUCUAUGGAUGCUUAAUAAAUACCGUAACUUAGGUGUACAAUUUCAUGGAGGAGAAUAGUACUGUGGCUAAUUUUUCAAAAGAGCAAUAAAAAGAAAACAUGUAUUGUGGCUUUAGCAAACAUUACUUUCUUGGGACAGUUUUAGCCUCCUAAUUAUGCUUUGCCUGAAUUCAUGCUAAUAUUAAUUCACCUCCCCCUAAGCGUGUGCCCACUGAUGACAGAUAUAUACUGGGGUUAAAAAUCUGGCAUGUAUAAUUCAUGCAUAAAUAUUGGAUUGCUAAGAAAACUGAGGCUCAAUCAGAUGCUGUUCGUUCUUUAUCAUCUCGUAACUUUCACUCUGACCUUUCAUCCAUGUAGUUAGCUCUGUAAUAACACCAACUAUAUAAAUAAAAAUUCAUUUCUAGUGCUGCGAACCAUUUUUAAAAUUCCAUUUUAAUAUUUAUUAUGCUGAGAUUUAUGAUCUGACAUGGUUAGCUAGAUAUCCUUUUCCUAAACUAUAUUAAGUUUCAUGCAAGUUGAUUUUAUUUUUACAAGCUUGAUACACUCUCUCAGUUUCUAGUUUAUCUUAAUGUAGACAAUAAAGUCAAUCUCGGAUUAAGUAAUUAAAGGUACAAAAAUAAGUUGAUUCCAUUGACUGGGCACUUUAAUGCCUACUCUAAAUCUUCUGCCACUUGUUUCCCUCUCACAUUUGACUAAUGCUCGAGAGAGAAACCCUGAUUGGUAUGAUCUGGUCUCUUCACUGGUAUUUUAUAGAUAGGGUUCUGUUUUAUGGACAGUAUAACUGGCUUCUCCCUUGAAAGUAAAUAAUUUUCUUUGUAUUAAGGAUAUUCUUUUUAAAUAACAUAUCAGCAAGGAUUUUUCUUCUGAGUCUGUAAUUUUUUAAACCAAAUUUUCCAAUGGGCAGUAUCUGUCAAUCCUUCAGGGACCUAUAUAAACACACAGGUGGAAUCACCCAUGCAAGCAGUUGUUUCUAGCUAACAGAUGGUUUUCUCAGAACAAUAUGUUUUGCUCUUGGGCCAAAGUGAGUAAAAUUUGGUACUAGACCCUAGAAUUUAACCUCAUAUGUUGGCAGUAGACUAGAAAAGAUCUUCAGAUGAAGAGAGCAGAGUAAAAUGGAGAAAGCCAUACACUGGGAGUCAGAUGGCCUGGAUAGGAUUUUGUGCUGGCGCUCAUUAGUCAUGAAACUUGAGGCACUUACUAGCACCAGGCACUGUAGCAAGCAAUGGAGGUUAAAACAUGAAGAGACACUGUCCCAGCCCUCUCGGAGCUCACGUUCCAGCAGGAGGAAGCUGCACAGAUGUUGAAACGACUACUACAGGAUGAGAUGUUAAACUGGAAAGAAAACUUACAGACCUACAGGAACACAAGGACAGUAACAUCUUUGUAUUCUCACAACCCAGAGAUGUAAAAUGUGUGUGUAAGAUGGAGAUAGAGCUUCUGCAUUUUCAAAAUGCUCAGAUGCCUGCAUGUGAAAGGCAGAGAGGAGAACCGGGACUCUCAGAGGAGAUGAAUUUUGACUCCAGACUGACUGGAACCAUCAGGAACUGGUGACUUGUGACCACAGCUCGUCCCGAGCAGACUCACUGCUGCCUCUGUGGUGAGCCUAUUUUCAAAGCCCCACAGUGGCCCCUUGUAAACUUUUCUCUUUUCCCUCAAGCCCUGACCCCUCCAGUCCACUUGAGCUCCCACUGUGUGGAGACAAAAGGCCACCUAUUCUGUAGCAUCCCCCUCAAAACACCUCUAUUUUCAGCCCUUCUUCCUCCCUAUUUUAAUGAGCAGGUUUUCUGGAUUUUUCCCGAGGUCAGUUUCCCUGCUUGUGUGCUUGGCCCCAUCCUUUCCACCCCCCCAGGACCUUACUCAUUUGGUGAAAAUACAACUUUUUAGAAAUAAAUAUGUAACGUUCUCUGCACUUAAUAUUUUAUGGUAAUUAGGCUUUUUAAUCCCAAUGUCUGCUAUGCUAGGCUGACAGGAUUUUUAUGUAAACUAGCUGAUUUAUAUAUAUGUAAGUCCUAUAUAUGUAUAUGAAAAUUACAUUGGUAUGUUUAGACUAGUACAGCAGUGAGGAUGACAGAGAGAAAAGCAGGCGUAUGAAAAUGCAGAACAAUAGAUUAAACUGUGAAGCCUUUGUAGGUGGACAGCCUGAGCAUGCUUUGCUAAUUGUUUUGAAUCCUCAAUACCCUGUAGUGCAGAAAGGGUGGGGCAAGGGGCCCAGAAUCACACAUGUAUCAUGCCUUAAAGGCAAGCUGCAGACAAAAGCUGUGUUGAUGCCAUUACUAGAACUCCUCCCUGCCAUGUCCCCUACCCCCACUGCUGGGCCCCCUAACUUGUUUAUUUCUAUUGAAGUAUAACAUACAUUAAAUAAUUUUCCCCUUUUAAAUGCACAGUUUGAUAAGUUUUAAAAUAUGCAUACUUCUAUGUGACCACCAGCACAAUCAAGAUACAGUUUUGAUUUCAUCACCCAAAAAGUCCUCUCUUGCUCCUUUGCAUUCAAGGUCUGCUCCUCCCAAUCCCAGGAAUCCAUCAGGUUGUUGUCUCUGAGCAUUAUGGACUGCGUGUUCAUGUCGCCCCAAUUAAUAUGUUGAAACCCUAACUCCCAACAGAGUGGUAUUAGGAGAUGGGGCUUUUGGGAGAUAAUUAGGUCAUGAGGAUGGGGCCCCCAUGAUGGAGAUUAGUGCCCUUAUAAGAAGAGGAAGACAGCUAGCUCUCUGCUGUCUCGGCCAUGUGAGGAUACAGCAAGAUGUCCUCUGCCAGCCAGGAAGAGAGCCCUCAGCAGAUAUUAGAUCUGCCCGUGCCUUGAUCUUGGACUUUCUAGCCUCCAGAACUGUGAGAAACAAAUGUUUACUGAUUAAGCCACCCAGUCUAUGGUAUUUUUUUGUUAUAGCAUCCCAAGCAGACUAAGACGCUUAGUAUAGACCAGUUUUGCCUGUUCUAGUAUAGAUUCACAAAUUAGUUUUGACUGUUUAUACAAAUGGUACAUUCGAUAUAAACUCUUUAUUGUCUGGAUUCUUUUCCUCAACCUAAUAUUUUAAAAAUUCUUCUAUGUUAUUACAUGUAUCAGUGUUUCUUCCUUUUUAUUUGUUAGUGGUAUUUUAUUGUAUA